rnacentral:misc_RNA from 1 species
UCGGUUGGGGAAGACGUUUUUUUCCGAUUUUCGGAGAGUAAUGUGGGUGUUUUCCGCGGCGCGGAUGUGAAAGUUUCUUGUGUAAACUACUAUUUAUUGGAAAUAAAAAGAAUGGUUUAAGACAAAAGCACUUGCAAUUUGUUGUUAAUUGCUGAAGCGUAACGGCAAAUACCGAGCGCAUCCAUUGUUCGUGUGUGCCAAAUCUACAGCAACAUAAGCUAUCAAUCAGUCAGUCAUACGUAUAGUCAGACAGUCAUUGAAUCACACAUGCACUUGCGAAUCAAUUGCACGGAAUACCUACAAAAACAACAAUAACAACAACAACAUACAAAUGUAGCAAAUCAAGAGCGUCGGAAAAGGUCGUAUUGAAAAUUUGCAUUUGCUCAUUGUAGUGAAAAAUCAUAAACAACAAUAAUAACCAACCGAAACAAAACACCAAAGGAUUCAUGUUUUAAAUACAACAAGCAAAUAAAGUGAUUGUUUUACAAUUUCUCCCGCUGAAAUUGCAACAAACAUACGAAGAUCAUAAAAUGCACCAAAAAACAAUAAAAACACUGAAAACUACAAAUGCAAAAGCUGUGAAAAUGCCAAUGACAGCCAGCAAUCGCACAGUGCAGCGCCAUACCAGUGAUCAUACACGUUGCCAUAUCUCCGGCUGGAGUGCGCUUUUUGUGCUCUUGGCCUUGAGCACUUGGGCCAGCCAAACGCAAGCGUUCGAUUUGGGCAACGAGUUGAAUCUCAAGCCGACAAACUACGCGGAAUGGAACAAAAAUGUCACGUACGUCAGUUCAACCGCCUAUAAUGCGCGUGGCAUGCAGCCACUUUACGAAAUCACACAUAAAAUUAUUUGGUUCUUCACCGGUGAACAUCCACUGCCAGAAGGUUACCUCGUAGUCAAGGAAAACGAUAUAGAAUUCGGUCCGAAAGUCGAACGCAAUGAAUGGAUUGAUUUAGUCAAACAUUAUUGGUUAAUAUGGCUAAUUGUCUUGCUCGUUGGCCUGCUAAUUGUUACAAUGCCAGUUGUUGGUUUAUGCUUUUGCUGUUGUCGCUGCGCUGGUGCUUGUGGUGGACGCUCGGAGCCGUUUGACAAGAAACACGACACCUGUCGCCGUGUGUUCUUGGGAUUCUUGCUUAUAAUAUUGGCAACAGGUUUGCUUUUCGGUGUUAUAGUCACAUUCGCAACGAACAGUUAUAUGCAACAGGGUAUUGAGAACAGCACAAAUCGUGUACGUGAUGCCAGCGUUGACACGCGCAAAUUUCUGGAAUCCACAUCGGAACAGGUCGAUCACGUGCUCAUCACGAACUACAAACAAUUGUCAAUUCAGCUGGACAAUAUUAUGCGCGAAACAUCGAGUUUCAUCAUAAAAGAGUUGGAGCAGAAAUCGAUGGCUGUUUCGCUCAUCUAUCUAACAGACUUUCUUGAAAAACUGCCAGAGCUUAGAUUAAAAUUACAGAAGAUGAAGAGCAUCACCAAUGAUUUGCGCGUCUACGCUUCACAGUUAAGCGAUGGCUUGCGUGGCGUAAAGCGUGAUUUAUUGGUUAUGCUGACCAAAUGCAACAACAAAGCAUGUCAGGAUGUGCUCAACAAGUACGAGAUCGGGAAGCUUGAUGCUAACGGUAUACACUACGAUCAGAUGGUAGACCGAUACUUUCCGAAGCUUCCGGAUGUAACAGAAAUCAUCGACAAUUUGGAUAACUUGAUAAGUAAGGACAUAGCCUCGGCUGGCAAGCGUGGACGUGAUAUACUGAAUCAAAUGCGCGCACAUCUCAAUACAACAAUUGCAAAAUAUACACCAAAAAUCAUUGAUUCCAUAAAUAAAGCAGGUCAUGCUUUCCAACACGCCUCAAACGAAAUCAAAUUGGAGCUUAACAAACUUUCUCAAGUUAUUAAAGACAAUACUAAAAAGUACACCGGCGUAGCCGAUGACUAUUUAGAAGAAUAUGGACCAUAUCGCUUUUACUUUGGCAUCGCUGUAUGCUCAAUAUUGUUACUGAUUUUGCUUUGUGUGGUCGCUGCUUUGUUGUGCGGCAUUUGUGGCAAACGGCCGGACGGUUAUGGCGAUGACUGCUGCAAUAAGGGCUCAGGCUCACGUUUCUUGAUGAUGGCUGUAGCGCUGAUUUUCCUCUUUAUGUCUUUGAUUGCUUUGGUAACACUGGUGCACUUUUUGAUCGGUCUAAUCGCCUAUCGCGGCGUAUGUCUUCCACUAAAGGACCCUCAAAAUGACGAAAUAUUCGCACAAUUCGACAAUUCGAUCGACUUAAAUAAUGUGCUUUAUCCACCGCAAAACAAAGGCAAACCGACCUCGGGUGGUUUACCACCACUGCGCAUUUCACACGUGAUCACCGCCUGCCAACGCAAUCAAACGAUCUACGAAGUGUUGCACAUACAUAAUCGCAUUGACAUUCACGAAAUUAACGAUUAUCCUGCACAAUAUAAAAUCAAUCAGACACUAGACGAUCUGGUAGAUGGCAUAUCAUUUGACGACAGCGAUAUCGAGAUUUUAAGUGCGGAGGAUAAACAACGCAUACUCAAUUUGGCCGAUUCCGCAUUGAAGAAUUUCGACUCCGCUCAAUAUAUAGACAAUCUGAACGACACCAUCACAAAACAUUCGUUAACAGAAAUUGCUCAAGAAUUGCGUCAGACCGCGAAGAAAAUCGACAAAAGUGAGGAUAUGAAAGAUGUGCAGGUUAGUCUGCGCAAUCAGGCAUUGCAUUUGGAGACCUACGAACAAAACUGGGUAAUACCAAUGAAGAAUCAAUCGGUGGAACUUAUACGGCUUGCCAGUGACUUAGAUCAUAGUUUGCGCUAUAAGGAUCGUCCAUUCCACGAAUCCAUACCGUUGCUGGUCAGUGAGAUUGAGCGUGCACAGUUAUUCUUCCGCGUGGACGGACGACAAUUCGUUAAGAAUACCGCAGUAAAUUUGACGCACUAUUUUGCCAGUGAAAUAGAGAACUACUUGAGAAUGGUUGUGGUGGCAGUGGAGAAGAAAAUUGGCUUAUGUGCGCCACUAGCGAAUGUCUAUGACUCUGGUGUGGUGGGAUUAUGUAGUGCUAUUGUAGAUCCAUUGAAUGGAUUCUGGUCUGGUGCCGCUUUGUGUGUUGUACUCUUUUUGCCAACGCUGCUGGUGGCAGUCAAAUUGGCUAGUUUAUAUCAGAAGUCUGACCCAUAUCCCGGUCCACUAGUGGAAUCGGAGUAUUUGUAUGACGCAUAUAGUGAACGUGAUCAUAUUCCAUUGGCAAAUGGGCCAAAGAACAAGCGCCGAAAGAAUAAAGACCGUCGACGCGGUCGUGAAUACUACGAGGAUCCAGUCGCUUCCACGGCGCACGGUGUGCCACCAACAGUCGGUGUGCGUGACACGCGUUACAGCGACAUGGCACCCAAAGCUAAGUGUAUUGUUGGCUCUGUUGAUACGAGGCCAAGAUCUUUGAUGGGCGAUGGUUUCUAUUAGGUUCUAUAACACUGACGUUGGUGAUGAUUUUCGAUGAUGAUGUUAUAGUGGCAUUGGGAUGGCGGCCCGCCGAGAUACCAGAAUCCACCAAUGGCACCACCUGCCUCCGAGUACGAACGCCCACCGCCAUAU